rnacentral:rRNA from 1 species
AGGGAAUCUUCCACAAUGGACGAAAGUCUGAUGGAGCAACGCCGCGUGAGUGAAGAAGGUCUUCGGAUCGUAAAACUCUGUCCUUGGUGACGAAAAAAAUGACGGUAGCCAAGGAGGAAGUCCCGGCUAACUACGUGCCAGCAGCCGCGGUAAUACGUAGGGGACAAGCGUUGUCCGGAUUUACUGGGCGUAAAGGGCACGCAGGCGGUUUUUUAAGUCAGAUGUGAAAGGUACCGGCUCAACCGGUGACAUGCAUUUGAAACUGAAAGACUUCAGUAUUGGAGAGGCAAGUGGAAUUCCUAGUGUAGCGGUGAAAUGCGUAGAUAUUAGGAGGAACACCGGUGGCGAAGGCGGCUUGCUGGACAAAUACUGACGCUGAGGUGCGAAAGCGUGGGGAGCAAACA